rnacentral:rRNA from 1 species
UACGGAGGGUGCAAGCGUUAUCCGGAUUCACUGGGUUUAAAGGGUGCGUAGGCGGAUAAGUAAGUCAGUGGUGAAAUCUCCGAGCUUAACUCGGAAACUGCCGUUGAUACUAUUUGUCUUGAAUAUUGUGGAGGUAAGCGGAAUAUGUCAUGUAGCGGUGAAAUGCUUAGAUAUGACAUAGAACACCAAUUGCGAAGGCAGCUUGCUACACAAUGAUUGACGCUGAGGCACGAAAGCGUGGGGAUCAAACAGG